GACGUAGGAGGCGAGCGUUGUCCGGAUUCAUUGGGCGUAAAGAGCACGCAGGCGGUUUGGCAAGUCGGAUGUGAAAGCCCGGAGCUCAACUCCGGACCUGCAUCCGAAACUGCCCGACUAGAGGUAGGUAGGGGAGAUCGGAAUUCCUGGUGUAGCGGUGAAAUGCGCAGAUAUCAGGAGGAACACCGGUGGCGAAGGCGGUUCUCUGGGCAUUACCUGACGCUGAGGAGCGAAAGUGUGGGGAGCGAACAGG
rnacentral:rRNA from 1 species